rnacentral:rRNA from 1 species
CACGUAGGGGACGAGCGUUGUCCGGAUUCAUUGGGCGUAAAGCGCGCGUAGGCGGCUCGGAAAGUCGGUCGUGAAAUGCCGGGGCUCAACCCCGGGACUGCGUCCGAUACCCCCGAGCUGGAGGCAGGUAGGGGAGAUCGGAAUUCCUGGUGUAGCGGUGAAAUGCGCAGAUAUCAGGAGGAACACCGGUGGCGAAGGCGGAUCUCUGGGCCUUGCCUGACGCUGAGGCGCGAAAGCUAGGGGAGCGAACAGG